rnacentral:rRNA from 1 species
AUUGAACGCUGGCGGCAGGCCUAACACAUGCAAGUCGAACGCGUGGCGCACGGGAGUAAAAUGUCUGGGAAACUGCCUGAUGGAGGGGGAUAACUACUGGAAACGGUAGCUAAUCCCGCAUACCAUCAGAUGUGCCCAUGUGGGAUUAGCUUGUUGGUUGGGUAACGGCUCACCAAGGCGACGAUCCCUAGCUGGUCUGAGAGGAUGAACAGCCACACUGGAACUGAGACACGGUCCAGACUCCUACGGGAGGCAGCAGUGGGGAAUAUUGCACAAUGGGCGCAAGCCUGAUGCAGCCAUGCCGCGUGUGUGAAGAAGGUCUUCGGGUUGUAAAGCACUUUCAGCGGGGAGGCGUUACCCGCAGAAGAAGCACCGGCUAACUCCGUGCCAGCAGCCGCGGUAAUUC